UCCCCGGUGGUCCAGUGGGUAAGACUUCAUGCUUCCAAUGCAUGGUGCCCAGGUUCGAUCCCUGGUUGGGGAA